rnacentral:tRNA from 1 species
UUAAUUGAAACCAAGGGAGAGGUGUGUCACUGUUAAUGGCAUCAAUGGGUCGUCGUACCCCGGUUAAG